rnacentral:rRNA from 1 species
AUAAGCUACUAAGGGCUAACGGUGGAUGCCUUGGCAUCGGAAGGCGAUGAAGGACGUGGUAAGCUGCGAUAAGCUUCGGGGAGUCGUUAACAGGCUUUGAUCCGGAGAUUUCCGAAUGGGGAAACCCGGCAGGACGUAACUCCUGUCAUUUGCUGCUCAAUACAUAGGCAGUAAAGGCGAACGCGGGGAACUGAAACAUCUUAGUACCCGCAGGAAUAGAAAUCAAUUGAGAUUCCGUAAGUAGUGGCGAGCGAACGCGGAACAGCCUAAACCAUGCCGGCUUGCCGGUAUGGGGUUGUAGGAGCCCGACAUGGGACCAAUGAUAUAUAGCGGAACAGUAUGGAAAGGCUGACCAUAGACGGUGAUAGUCCGGUACGCGAAAUAUAUCUUGACCCUAGGGAUUUCCUGAGUACCACGGGACACGUGAAACCCUGUGGGAAUCUGGGAGGACCAUCUUCCAAGGCUAAAUACUAUCCGAUGACCGAUAGCGAACGAGUACCGUGAGGGAAAGGUGAAAAGAACCCCGGGAGGGGAGUGAAAUAGAAACUGAAACCGUUAGCUUACAAGCAGUCGAAGCACUAUGCGCAAGCAGUGUGACGGCGUGCCUUUUGCAUAAUGAGUCAACGACUUACCCUAUGCAGCGAGGUUAAGCCGCGAGGUGGAGCCAUAGCGAAAGCGAGUCUUAAUUGGGCGAUUGAGUUGCAUGGGGUAGACCCGAAGCCGGGUGAUCUAUCCAUGGCCAGGGUGAAGUCUCGGUAACACGAGAUGGAGGCCCGAACCGAUAUAGGUUGAAAACUGUUCGGAUGAGCUGUGGAUAGGAGUGAAAGGCUAAUCAAACUCGGUGAUAGCUGGUUUUCUCCGAAAUAUAUUUAGGUAUAGCCUCAUAUGUUGACUGACGGAGGUAGAGCACUGACAAGGCUAGGGGUCCUACCGGAUUACCAACCCUUAUCAAACUCCGAAUACCGUCAAGUUCUAAUAUGGGAGUCAGACUAUGGGAGAUAAGUUCCGUGGUCAAAAGGGAAAGAGCCCAGACCGUCAGCUAAGGUCCCAAAAUCUCUGCUAAGUGGAAAAGGAUGUGGAAUUGCCUAUACAACCAGGAGGUUGGCUUAGAAGCAGCAACCCUUUAAAGAAAGCGUAAUAGCUCACUGGUCCAGUGAUACCGCGCCGAAAAUUUAACGGGGCUAAGCAGAGUACCGAAGCUACGGAUUCAGACUUUGUCUGGAUGGUAGGAGAAUAUUGUGGUCGCCUGAGAAGGUACACCGGAAGGAGUGCUGGAGGUCCCACAAGAGCUUAUGUUGACACGAGUAGCGAAAAACAAGGUGAGAAACCUUGUCGCCGAAAGCCUCAGGUUUCCUGUAGUCAAGUUAAUCUGCUCAGGGUUAGUCGGCUCCUAAGGCGAGGCCGAGAGGCGUAGUCGAUGGGAAACAGGUUAAUAUUCCUGUACCACUUUCAUAGCGUUUGAUGAUAAGGGGGGACGGAGAAGGUAAGGCCAUCCGGGCGGUGGUUGUCCCGGUUUAAGCGUGUAGACGGAAGACUUAGGCAAAUCCGGGUCUUCAUACGUUGAGGCGUGAUGACGAUGUCUUUUAGACAAUAAAGUGGCUGGGUCCAUGCUUCCAGGAAAAUCCUCGUAUCUAGUUAUGAAUGUGACCGUACCGUAAACCGACACAGGUAGGCUGGUAGAAGAUACCAAGGCGCUUGAGAGAACUCUGGUUAAGGAACUCGGCAAAAUAGCACCGUAACUUCGGGAGAAGGUGUGCCCACAUGGUGAUCUUUUCUUCAAUUGAAAGCCUACGUGGGUUGCAGUGAAAUGGGGGGAGCGACUGUUUACUAAAAACAUAGGACUCUGCGAAGUCGUAAGACGAUGUAUAGGGUCUGACGCCUGCCCGGUGCCGGAAGGUUAAGGGGACUUGUCAGCGCAAGCAAAGCAAUGAACCGAAGCCCCGGUAAACGGCGGCCGUAACUAUAACGGUCCUAAGGUAGCGAAAUUCCUUGUCGGGUAAGUUCCGACCUGCACGAAUGGCGUAACGAUUUCCCCACUGUCUCAACCAGAGGCUCAGCGAAACUGUAGCACCGGUGAAGAUGCCGGUUACCCGCAACUAGACAGAAAGACCCCGUGAACCUUUACUAUAGCUUGGCAUUGUUUUUUGAGGCAACAUGUGUAGGAUAGGUGGGAGACUUUGAAGUGGGCACGCCAGUGCUCAUGGAGUCACCGUUGAAAUACCACCCUUGUUGCUUUAGAAAUCUAACCGCGACCCGUCAUCCGGGUCCGGGACAUUGUCUGGUGGGUAGUUUGACUGGGGCGGUCGCCUCCCAAAUUGUAACGGAGGCGCGCGAUGGUUCCCUCAGCCCGAUUGGAAACCGGGCGUAGAGUGUAAAGGCAUAAGGGAGCUUGACUGCGAGAGAGACAUCUCGAGCAGGUACGAAAGUAGGUCUUAGUGAUCCGGCGAUUCCGCAUGGAAGGGUCGUCGCUCAACGGAUAAAAGGUACUCCGGGGAUAACAGGCUUAUCUCCCCCAAGAGUCCAUAUCGACGGGGAGGUUUGGCACCUCGAUGUCGGCUCAUCACAUCCUGGGGCUGUAGCAGGUCCCAAGGGUUUGGCUGUUCGCCAAUUAAAGUGGUACGUGAGCUGGGUUUAAAACGUCGUGAGACAGUUUGGUCCUUAUCUGUUGCGGGCGCAGGAUAUUUGAGGAGAUCUUUCCCUAGUACGAGAGGACCGGGAUGGACGAACCAAUGGUGUACCAGUUGUUCUGCCAAGGGCAUCGCUGGGUAGCUAUGUUCGGCAGGGAUAACCGCUGAAAGCAUCUAAGCGGGAA